rnacentral:rRNA from 1 species
UACGGAGGGGGCUAGCGUUGUUCGGAAUUAUUGGGCGUAAAGAGCGUGUAGGCGGCCAGACAGGUCCGUUGUGAAAACUCGAGGCUCAACCUCGAGACGCCGAUGGAAACCGUCUGGCUAGAGUCCGGAAGAGGAGAGUGGAAUUCCUGGUGUAGCGGUGAAAUGCGCAGAUAUCAGGAAGAACACCCGUGGCUAAGGCGGCUCUCUAGUACGGUACUGACGCUGAGACGCGAAAGCGUGGGGAGCGAACAGG